CCUUAGUCCAACUGCAGUUCUCAAGGACGCCCCUUCUGCAUAUUUUAGAUGUUUCCCUCCUCCACCAGAACUGAUUCAAAUGAUCAGCUCAUCAGCAACAAUCCUGGAAAUCCCUGCAAUUUGGAAAUGGAACUGAAUUUUCAGGAAAAAAAUAUUUUCCCACAAAAGAUUCCCUUGUGAUCUUGCAGGAGGAUUCAGCAGCUUGCCAGACCAGCUCAGUGAGCUGGGUGACAUAUUUGGUUGAAGUUAUCCACAUUUCCCGUGCAUAUUCAAUGAGGUGAGCUCCUUGGACCUGAUCUUGGCGGAGAUCAGAGGGCAAGGCCAAUGACUACAAAGCAGGAGAAGAUAAAUGGAAGACGAAACGAGAAACUGAAAGCUACGGAAAACUUUGUGUUCUGUAGGUUGAUGUGAAAGCAAGAAUGUAAGCAAUUAUUUUUAUUCUUCACUACUAAAAACAAUGCUUAUGUUCUAAUUGAGGGUACUGCUACCAUAAAAAAACACGCAAACAUGA